AUCCAGUUGACGAGUCCCAAAUAGGACGAAACGCGUGUCCUAGAU
rfam:Schistosoma mansoni strain Puerto Rico chromosome 6, complete genome